UCAACGAAACUACAAAGGAAUUGACGGGGCCCGGCACAAGCGGUGGAGCAUGUGGUUUAAUUCGAAGCAACGCGAAGAACCUUACCAGGCCUUGACAUGCAGAGAACUUUCCAGAGAUGGAUUGGUGCCUUCGGGAACUCUGACACAGGUGCUGCAUGGCUGUCGUCAGCUCGUGUCGUGGGAUGUUGGGUUAAGUCCCGCAACGAGCGCAACCCUUGCCUUUAGUUGCCAGCAGUUCGGCUGGGCACUCUAAAGGGACUGCCGGUGUUAAACCGGAGGAAGGUGGGGAUGACGUCAAGUCCUCAUGGCCUUUAUGACCAGGGCUACACACGUACUACAAUGGCCGAUACAAAGGGCAGCGACACUGCGAGGUGAAGCCAAUCCCGUAAAAUCGGUCUCAGUCCGGAUUGGAGUCUGCAACUCGACUCCAUGAAGUUGGAAUCGCUAGUAAUCGUGGAUCAGCAUGCCACGGUGAAUACGUUCCCGGGCCUU
rnacentral:rRNA from 1 species